rnacentral:rRNA from 1 species
UACGAAGGGGGCUAGCGUUGCUCGGAAUCACUGGGCGUAAAGCGCACGUAGGCGGCUUCUUAAGUCAGGGGUGAAAUCCUGGAGCUCAACUCCAGAACUGCCUUUGAUACUGGCGAUCUUGAGUCCGGGAGAGGUGAGUGGAACUGCGAGUGUAGAGGUGAAAUUCGUAGAUAUUCGCAAGAACACCAGUGGCGAAGGCGGCUCACUGGCCCGGUACUGACGCUGAGGCGCGAAAGCUAGGGGAGCGAACAGG